CUGACGAGUGGCGGACGGGUGAGUAAUGCUUGGGAACUUGCCUUUGCGAGGGGGAUAACAGUUGGAAACGACUGCUAAUACCGCAUAACGUCUACGGACCAAACGGGGCUUAGGCUCCGGCGCAGAGAGAGGCCCAAGUGAGAUUAGCUAGUUGGUGAGGUAAAGGCUCACCAAGGCGACGAUCUCUAGCUGUUCUGAGAGGAAGAUCAGCCACACUGGGACUGAGACACGGCCCAGACUCCUACGGGAGGCAGCAGUGGGGAAUAUUGCACAAUGGGGGAAACCCUGAUGCAGCCAUGCCGCGUGUGUGAAGAAGGCCUUCGGGUUGUAAAGCACUUUCAGUUGUGAGGAAAAGUGAGUAGUUAAUACCUGCUCACCGUGACGUUAGCAACAGAAGAAGCACCGGCUAACUCCGUGCCAGCAGCCGCGGUAAUACGGAGGGUGCGAGCGUUAAUCGGAAUUACUGGGCGUAAAGCGCACGCAGGCGGUUUGUUAAGCUAGAUGUGAAAGCCCCGGGCUCAACCUGGGACGGUCAUUUAGAACUGGCAGACUA
rnacentral:rRNA from 1 species